rnacentral:ncRNA from 1 species
AUAAAUUCUGUGAAGGAAAGAGUAGCAUGCGAAAUGGCGAAAGCGAGCCGGGGUAGGUGGGAGCCGGUGGUCAGGAAGAAUGUGAAGUGCAUUCCGGAGAAGGCUUUUUGAAAGAGAAUCAUGUAGGAAAGCCCGGCGAGGCCGUUAAACCGCAAAGAGAAGGUGCAGUGUGCAUUUAUGCAUAUAUAAUUUGCGCCAAAAAAAAGAGUGGAACCGCGAGCCAAAGCUUCGCCUCUUGC